rfam:Triticum urartu cultivar G1812 contig169846, whole genome shotgun sequence.
GUUGUACUCUCUCCGUCCGGAAAUACUUGUCAUCAAAAUGAAUAAAAAGGGAUGCUAGAUGUAUUUUAGUUUUAGAUACAUCCAUUUUUGUCCAUUUUGAUGACAAGUAUUUUCGGACGGAGGGAGUAGGAU